CUAUAACAUAAAACAUAACUUAUAACAGAUACCAAGUUCGUGUUUCAAUAUGCGCUGGAACAAGCAUUUCGCUUUCAAAAUAGAACCAUCAUAACAGCAGCUAUACAAUAAUCAUUUCUAAAGAAUAGAAUGCAUUGAAAUUAACUUUAUGAGAUAAGUUACUACCACCUAUCGUUUUAAUUACAGCUAUAUAUUUCAUAGAAUUAAUCCUUUAAUUUGUAUGCUAUAAGCAACUGAAUUACACAAUACCAUGACACUCAUUUCUCAUCAAAAAAGUCCCCUGACUAAGGUCACCUAACUUCACAUCAGUACUUCAAUAUAUAUAUAAUCUAUCCAUCUUAUCUAAUGGAAAAUAAAAAAACAAAAAUGAGCAAUAUAUUUUAAAAUGUAGUCAUUUAAAAUUAUAAUCUGUAUUUCUUGUCAAAAGAAUAAAAAAAACAUACACAAUAUACAUGUUUUCCUACCUACUUAUGCAAAUUGGAGCACUAUAACGAACAGUUGAUCAAUUAUCUAAAAUUAAAAUAAAAUUAGGUUUUACUAAACUAAUAUCUGGUAGAUACUUUUUCUUCCAACUAGUUUAACUUGCUACACUUAUAUUAAUAUAAAACUACCUAAGUGAUAGGUCUAAAACAUAGCAAAAUAGCUAUGUCAAAAAGGUAGUUGUAUUCAAAUCUUAUAUUUAUUGUUUAACAUUAUCAUUUUUUUUUUUUCAUAUAU